rnacentral:rRNA from 1 species
AUUGAAUGCUGGCGGCAGACCUAACACAUGCAAGUCGAGCGGGGUUUUCGGACCUAGCGGCGGACGGGUGAGUAAUGCGUAGGAAGCUACCCGAUAGAGGGGGAUACCAGUUGGAAACGACUGUUAAUACCGCAUAAUGUCUACGGACCAAAGUGUGGGACCUUCGGGCCACAUGCUAUCGGAUGCGCCUACGUGGGAUUAGCUAGUUGGUGAGGUAAUGGCUCACCAAGGCGACGAUCCCUAGCUGGUUUGAGAGGAUGAUCAGCCACACUGGAACUGAGACACGGUCCAGACUCCUACGGGAGGCAGCAGUGGGGAAUAUUGGACAAUGGGCGCAAGCCUGAUCCAGCCAUGCCGCGUGUGUGAAGAAGGCCUUCGGGUUGUAAAGCACUUUCAGUAGGGAGGAAGCGUUGUGUGUUAAUAGUACACAGCGUUGACGUUACCUACAGAAGAAGCACCGGCUAACUCUGUGCCAGCCGCCGCGGUAACAC